rnacentral:rRNA from 1 species
GACGAACCGUGCGAACGUUGUUCGGAAUCACUGGGCUUAAAGGGCGCGUAGGCGGGCUGUCAAGUCUGGGGUGAAAUGCCACGGCUCAACCGUGGAACUGCCUCAGAUACUGACGGCCUCGAGGAAGGUAGGGGCAUGCGGAACUGUAGGUGGAGCGGUGAAAUGCGCAGAUAUCAGGAGGAACACCAACGGCGAAGGCAGCACUCUGGGCCGGAACUGACGCUGAGGAGCGAAAGCGUGGGUAGCGAACAGG